UAAUGAUGGUGAGGGAAAUUUUUAAGCAUACUCUUAAAUCUCUUCCAAGCUUGGUAGAGAUUCUCUCCUUCCUUCUAUUUAAAACUCAAAAUCUCAUUUCUCAAACG
rfam:Capsicum annuum cultivar Zunla-1 chromosome 6, whole genome shotgun sequence